rnacentral:lncRNA from 1 species
ACCCAUCACUCACCACUACCCAAGCCCUCUCUUCACCUCCAACAACAUCCAUUACUGACCUUGGACCUUCUUCUCAAAUUCCUCCAUUCACGCAACAAAAAUGACCUUUAUUUACCCAAUUCCUUCACCCACACACUCAUGGCAGCUANCAACCCCCUUCCUACAUUAUAGCUCAUGAUCAUCUCCCAUCUCCAUACACACAUUACGACUCUCAUCCUCAACCUUCCAUUGGCACAAAGCCGCCUAAAACAGAGACAAUCAUACUCACACUAGUCAUCACCACGAUUCAUCCUCCAUUUUACUUGCCAACAUAUUCUUCAAACCAUANAUGAAAUUCACCUAGUUCCAUCCUCUAUCGCAGAAAAGCAAAGCCAAAGCAAAACCAAAGUACCCUCUCAUUCCCUCACUUCCU